CUUCGAAGAAUAGUCAGUAUUUUAAAUCAGUGGACAGCAUCAAAGGACUCUCGCGAAGGGGAUGAUGUGAUGGAAGAAAAUUAUGCGAUUGAUGUAAAUAUUGGUAGACUGUUGGCUUGCUGUUGUAAACAUAUAAAGAAAAUAUUAUAAAAAGAACUGCCUCCUGUGGCAUGCCCGGAGAAAUGGCAAAAUUGGGUAGGUAGAAGAAUGUGUAUGCCUCUUCAAUGCCUUAAAGAGUGAUUUUAGCUGCUAUAACUGUACCUCGAGUUUCAACCUGUAUUAUGGAUGCCAGAGUUUUGAAACGCUUGGCUUAUAUUUUGGAACCCAUUUAUCCUGAUACUUGACUUCAGUUCUUUAGGAAAACUAAUGACCUAACCAUAUUAUAAGUAGUUUCCUUUCUGUCC
rnacentral:misc_RNA from 1 species